CGGUCCAGCCGGAGUGAUCGCUCGCUUUUGAACCGCAAGGGGAGAUGGCGGGAGGAAAGUCCGGACACCACAAGGCAGCAUGCCAUGCGCAAGCAUGGGGGGCGUGGCGCAAGCGACGUUCACAGACAGUGUCACAGAAAACAAACCGCCUCCGCGCAAGCGGCGGCAAGGGUGAAACGGCGGGGUAAGAGCCCACCGCCCCGACCGCGAGGAAGGGGGCACGACAAACCUCAUGCGGUGCAAGACAGAACAGGGGAAACGGCCCGCCUGGCCGCAAGUCCCGCUCGAAAGGGCGGGAUGGAUAGCUCCGGGUAAUAGUCGCACGGCCACCGCAAGGUGGAGGCGGUUCGGUCGCUCGAACCGACAGAUAAAUGAUCACAGCAAGGUGCCGCAAGGCAUCGAGACACAGAAUCCGGCUUAUGAGGGCUGGGCCAUCAU
rnacentral:RNase_P_RNA from 1 species